rnacentral:lncRNA from 1 species
AACGAGAUCCCUCUUCCAAGACAUAUAACGACUGACUUGUUUACUCUAAACUACGUUAUCAUUAUACUGUUAUAAGAGGGCAUCAGAGUAUCUGACUAAUUGGGGGGUGUGAGUUGCAUAUGCAUAAAUCAUAGGCUGAGAGGCGAGGCAUAUACACAACACGACAAAAACGGUACGAUUCCCGUGAUAGCGACUUUACUUACUUACUUCAUAUCUUGUCGAAAACCCCUCUCACGCCUCGUAAGAAGGCAUCAUCUGGUCUGAUCUGUUUGAUAAGUUGUCGUCCACCAGAGAAUUACCAAAUGAGGAAACUGCCUUCCUAAUUCGACAAGCCGACGGGACAGGCUGAGAUUGCAUAAUCUACAUAUCCGUCAUUGAUGACUUUGUCUGCAUCAAAUGACAUGCAUUGAUAUUUAAUUAGUUUCUGCCCUCCUUUCUUUCUUAGUCGUGAGGCUGCAGGUAAUCCUCGCUGACGAUGUGCGUCGUCGUUGCACUCCAGUGGGCUGAGCGGGUCGGAGGAGGCUGGGAAUGGACGCAUGGACAGAGUACAGUAUUAACUAAUAACCUGGUACAACAGGCAUAGAAAUACUCCGUGAACAAAAACGGUGCUCCUUCUUCAUUUGAUUUCAUGUGGCGUCCACUGAUUCUUGAGUGAUGCCUCGUUUACUCCGUAGUAUUUACCAAGAACGUUACCCGCUGGCAUCACAAGCAAGAAACAGAAGCAGCAAACCAGCCAGCGCAUAUUCAAACCGGGGGCAUUGGGACUUAUGCAAGCGGACACAAAAGUGGCUGCUGUCAAGUUGCAGUUCUCCUAAAGGGUUGGUUAGCCUUGAUCGUAUGCGUGACUGGACUAUUUAUGCAAUCGGUUCUUUAACAUGCACCAGUUCGUACCUCGUAAUCGUCGUGUCGACGAGGUCGCUUCUGGACUAUCGGAUGUGAAAUGUGAUAGCUAAACUUAGACAACAACGUAUCGAGAAUCUAGACAAUUAGCCCAGCUGGCUAGAAGCCAAUCAAGGAGCAUGCACGACAGAAAUAGAUUGCCCCUCUAUGAGAUUUCCAGUACUCCAGCACUGACCCCUCAUUACGACGUCCGGUAGUUGUGGUGAUUAUUGUUUCGCUUCCUUUUUCUCUCCUUUCUUUUCUUUCUCUGCAGGUGACCGAGAUUACGUUUUCUUUUACGUUUGUUCUCGUCACAUCAUGAAGAGCGCCCGCCGAGUAGUGCCACUACUAGUGAGCACCCAAUAACAAGAGUCAUGCAUGAGAUCCGACUCGCGAGCCUCCACUGCAAUCCUGGUACGUACCCAUACCGACAAAGUUUAGUCGUCACGCAGACAAAAUAAAAUGAGACGAGUAGCCCGGGUUCAGUCUUAUUCCUUGUUCUCGUUCCCGUUCCUUGUUCCACCUCCCCCAGCCUCGGAGGCGAUAUUGCAUUAUCAUCGUCACAAUCAAGACAAUAAAGGAAGGUGGAGGAUCUGCUGACCAUUCAUUAACACGAUGAACUAAGGCGGGUGGUUAACCAGCUGGUAUCGGGAUUUUAUUUCUUGACUCAGAAAGUAGGUUGGUGAUGCAUCGUUAGUGAAGUACGUAGCAAGUAAGUAAUACUAUACUGGUCGUAUGUUAACUUAUGAACCGCGCCUGGCUCAUUGACACAUGCAGAUGGGUCCAGACUACGGAUUUAUUCAUCUGAUUACCCUGCCGAUCACCGCGAUUACUGGUGGCAGGUGGAAUGUAGUCACUGAAGCUGUAACUUAUUGAAGGGCGUAGUUGUGUCUUGGAUCUGUGGGAUAAUAACCCCCAUCCAUGCGACAAUCAGCCGUGUAAACCAGUUAACUAGUUAAUAGACGGAUCGGUGACUACUCCAUAGUAGUUAGGUUUCCCCUUGAAGUACGGAGUACUCUGCAAUAUCGCAAGGUCAAGCCUCAAUAAUGCACGUACGUAUUGUCUUACUACGGAGUGUAUAACUAGCUAACAAACGGAGUAUACUCCGGCAAAUUCUUAACAAGCGGGUGAUGGUACCUUAAAUAGCCAAAAAUGUAUCGGGCGUUGUGCCGUCCAGUCAGGGGGUGGUUAGGUUGUUAGUUAGCCCUUGGGUAUUUAGUAUUUACUAUUGAAUAGGUUUUAGGCUAUGCUGGGGCCUGGGCUAACUUUUCCAGGGGGCGGGUUCCACUCAGAGAUCGUACUGUGUACUCGACGGUGUACCCUGUACAGGCAUAAGUUAAGUUAUUGAUUAACUAACUUAGCUAACUAACCAUCCAUCUAACUUAGCCUUUCGCAUCUGAGAUUAUGAGUCUGUCUCAAGAUAGCGGGGGCCAGGCAGAACGAUUCUUGCGUUCUCCGGCAUCUUGUUGGUGUCGAAUUGGACGACGAAAGACAAGCAUAGCCACGCAGUACGUGGCAGACUGAUUCGACUUUGCAAGGCGAGGUAAGCUGAUGCUCACUCGGCAUCUGAAGUGGAAUUAGUUAACUAUUAUUAGUGGUUACCACUUAACUAGUUAUACCAGUCAAUUGGUGAUGUCAUUCAAUAUAUUUUUUCCUGGAAUAAAAAAAAAAUCGGUUAGAACUUAGGAGUCCCCCGAUAAGCGUCGGCACUCUGUAUUGCAAUUACCGUACAAUAAUCCGGAUUAGACCGAUGAUAGGCGCAAAGCUAAGUUAAUUGAUAAAUAUGGGUAAUCCACGACUCGUACAGCACGAUACACAAACCUCAACCAACGAUCCUGCUGACUACUAACCAACUAGUCAGUCUAAACGCUCUCAGAUACGCCAACAAAGUUUCAGAUCGCCUGCUCGCUCUGUAUGUAUGGACAUCCAGGGGGCCAGCUGAAUGCCGGAUUCGGUGAGUCAAUCAAGCGGUCAAAUUGACAAGUUACAUUUUUUUUCAAAUUUCAUAAGUAGUAAGAAUGCAACGUAUGUCUCGUUUCUUACUGGUUAUUUCUUUUUUUACUAUUAUUGAAACAUCCGGGAAUUCCAUUCCACCACCCUUAAGCGCCGAGGUUUCGUUAUGUUUGCCUGGAACACCGAAUUAUUAUCCAACCCCACGGAGUAUGUACUCCGUACUUGUUUGCGACAAGACAACCCAGGGAGCAUAGUGCCAAAAGUCGAAUCUGACUGGCUCGACGAUCUUGGAUCUGGACAGGGCCUUGCGCAACGCAACGUUUUGCGACUGAAUGUGCAUUGUGCAAGCCCCAGGCCCGCAAGCCGCCAGGGCCUAUUCAUAUGUAUAUGUACGUAGUAGUAGGUAUUAAGUUAUGGUAAAUGGUAAUAUCCACUCCGAAAGGGUUGAUGUGCUGCUCUUUUGCUACCCAACCGCAUACGUAUACUCUGUAUCUGGCAUGGACUCACGAUGGCGUACUUAACCUGUAACUCAAUGCUCUCUACACUGACAGACUCACGAGAUCAUUUAUUGGAUUUUACGGUAUGCAGCGUCGCGGAUGGAGUAUUCCCGAACGCACCGACGGCCAGACAAGACAAAGCCACCCCUGUAUUAUUAUGCUUUGGCAGUGGUGGCACAGACAGCCCAAUAGUCAUGUCUAAUCGACGGAUCUCUAAUAAUCCAGAGCAAGUUAUUGACCAGUGUUGUCUGCCCCCUGGGGCCCUUCAAUGCACACCUGACUAAACUGCAUGCAUGCAGAUGCUAGAUAAAUUUGAUACAUCCUGAAUGUACGUAAAACCAUGACAUGUCGUCAAGAGACUCAAAAAGCUGAUAUAGCCGCUCACAUCUUGCAUGUGGAAGGGAGGGGAGUCAAGGGACCUACCUACUCAAUUUGAACAGCAACAGGGAUGUUGCAUCGCAUCCCAUUCAGCCAUGCCCAGCAAUAAUAGCGAGCACUAAGGAACUGAGUAAUAAUAAGUAUACUCCGUAUUAUCAGAUAGUACGGACUAAAUGCAGACUGGCCACACGGUCGGGGUCAAAUUCUGCCCCAAGCUCCCUAAUUUUGUUCCUCUUGAGACAGUGGACACACACACAUCAAGUCAAGGCCUUAGGUAACUAUGCCCUAUUAUUAAGACGCCCGUUUCGUCACACCCGAGCCGCGUGGUUUUGAAUUGUCGAGAGAUGAGAUGCACCCUCUGUCCUUACUGACCCUUGCCUAACGGGCUGGUGAGUUAGUUAACUUAGUUGGUUGGUUACCAAAACCCGAUAGUCAUAACUAAUCAUCAGAACAUCCAUCCUGACGAUGGUUAACUAUAACGUAUGUAACUACGUAGUACGUAUUACUUCACAGUCUGAUCGCCGACGGUCAAGCUGAUCGGCAAGGAAAUUUUCCAUGACAUGGUUCUAGCCUUUUCAACAUCAAGAAAGAAAAUUUUUUUCUUUCUUGCUCUGCUCCAUACGCCGUACGGAUACCCGCGGCCCAGGACGUGGCCACGCACAUAGACGGAUAGACGGGACAUGAAUCUAUACGGAACAUUCCAUUCCACCCAAGACCAUUUAAUGGUGUUUACCGGGUUUGCCCCACCGUGUGUGUGUGUGUGUGUAUGUUUUUUUUUUCCUUUCCAUGGAUAUUUCGGAAAUCGAUAGUGGAGCGCUUUGGGCUUCUGGAACAACCUCCCCAAGAGCCAAGAACAAUGACUUCUUUGUUGUUUUGCCGAUCUACCACACAGCUAAGACCGUUAAGCUGUACGUGUACUACAGUAUGGUUUCGGUAGAGGGAAGCGGGGAUAAUUAUCGAAGUAUAAUAAUGAACGGUAUGACGAACGGGAUCGGACGGUGGAAAUUAUAGUUAGUAUACUACGCACAAACAAGGUCUUUCUUUGAUCUACUGACUGGCUUGAAAGCUGAUGAUGAUGGCCAUCCUUUCAGAAUAAUAUUAAUACAUACAUACAUACAUACAUACAUACUACAUAGCGAUGAAUGCGUUACUGCAUGCAGUAGCUACAACCUCAGUUGGAUAUCGGCGUAUUUCAUAUUGAUUAAGUAAUUGCUUUUUCGCCUGUGUCUGAUCGGUCCCUUGAAUAGUUAGUUACCUACACAGUAACCAUGGUAAUAUGUAUCGUGGUAUAAAUCUGACGGGUGCAUGUAUUGAUAUCAGCUGAGUGGGUUUUCGUCAACUGCAAGGUCGACCCAAACCGGGAAUGGGCAUAGCACGCACGCACACACACAGUCUCUCUCUGGAUUACUACGAGUAAUAUGUGGCUUGCCUGGGAAGUCUGGUGGUGGCACACCUCGGAAGUAAAGAGCGGUUGGUGACUUGGUGUCAGACUGUCAGGAUGAGCGCAACUGCCAGCAAUUAGGGUUUCCGCUAGAUCCGUGCCGCACUAGGCAAAAAUCGUCUGUUAAGUAUUAACUAAACCGCGUGUUAAACAGGUUAAACGGCAAGAAACGAAAAAAGAAAAGAGCGCAAAAAGGGCACAAAGUAACGAGGCUGGUUGGCAGGUUGGGACUAGUUUAAGGAGGAGUUAGUGGGCCGAGUGCUAAAUAUCCGGGCCUACUCCUACAACUCUGUAAUUGUAUCAGUGAGUAGUGUGUAUGUAUGUCUAGAAGAGAUCUGCCCACGGUGACACUGCACUGGCCAGUCAUGUACAUUGAGUCGCCCCGUCUAGCGAGCAUUUCAUUGGCCAUCUGACUCGGCCGAUCAUUCAACGACCAGAAGAGACUCAAGAGCCUAAAGAAGAGGAAGUGAAUUUUCGUAUUCGGUGGUUCCGCUCCACCAGACCAGACCAAACCGUCUCCGUCCGCCACGCUCUCUUCAACCAAGCGACGAGCAAAGUCAUGAUUCAAUAUGCAAGCUGUCUGAUUAGUCACUGCAACCUUGGUUUAACUAAACUAGUUAACUAGUUAGUUAACUGUUCUACAGACUAGUUGGUUGAACCUGGUUACCAUUUCAUUUUCCAGAUCAAAAUGAGAACCAUCACAAUGCCGAUUCCUUCCGUGUAACACCACUCCGGAUGUACGAUGUCGAGCCUGGUCAAAGGAAUGUGACACGCAGCACAUUGAUCAGAUAUGUAGUAUCAUCGAGUAGUAGUUACUAACAAACCUCACAAAAAGAAAAAUAAUACGGAGGGUCCGACGACUAGCAGAGAUCGUUGGAUCGCGUCUUACCGCCGAAGUUUCUGAAAAGUGUAAAGGUGAAACUCGUUCCCUGGCUCAGUCAGCAGGAUAUCCGUAUAGCCGACUAGAGUCCAUGGUCUCCAUAUACUAGUAUAUACUACAGAGUAGUAUGAGUACGAGUUCACUAAGGUCUCCUUUUGGCAGGGCCGGAUGAGGAAGGCUAACCCGCCCUGCCAAGUGUAGCACAUACUACUACAUAGCUACGCACUACACUACGUAGGAUAGUGUCUGUCCUA